CCUACGGGAGGCAGCAGUGGGGGAUAUUGCACAAUGGGGGGAACCCUGAUGCAGCGACGCCGCGUGGGUGAAGAAGCGCCUCGGCGCGUAAAGCCCUGUCAGCAGGGAAGAAAAUGAAGGUACCUGAAGAAGAAGCCCCGGCUAACUACGUGCCAGCAGCCGCGGGAAUACGUAGGGGGCAAGCGUUAUACGGAUUUACUGGGUGUAAAGGGGGCGCAGACGGCGAUGCAAGCCAGGAGUGAAAGCCCGGGGCGCAACCCCGGGACUGCUCUUGGAACUGCAUGGCUGGAGUGCCGGAGGGGCAAGCGGAAGUCCUGGUGUAGCGGUGAAAUGCGGAGAUAUGAGGAGGAACACCGGGGGCGAAGGCGGCCUGCUGGACUGCAACUGACGUUGAGGCCCGAAAGCGUGGGGAGCAAACAGGAUUAGAUACCCCAGUAGUC
rnacentral:rRNA from 1 species